GCUCAUGUGGCUCAGUGGUAGAGCACUCCCUUGGUAAGGGAGAGGUCGGCAGUUCGAUCCUGCCCAUGAGCACCA
rnacentral:tRNA from 13 species